rnacentral:rRNA from 1 species
UACGUAGGGGGCAAGCGUUAUCCGGAUUUACUGGGUGUAAAGGGAGCGUAGACGGUUAUGUAAGUCUGAAGUGAAAGCCCGGGGCCCAACCCCGGGACUGCUUUGGAAACUGUGUAACUAGAGUACAGGAGGGGCAGGCGGAAUUCCUGGUGUAGCGGUGAAAUGCGUAGAUAUCAGGAGGAACACCGGCGGAGAAGGCGGCCUGCUGGACUGAAACUGACGUUGAGGCUCGAAAGCGUGGGGAGCAAACAGG